UCCCCCCCCCCCUCCUUUUGAGCCAUUGUGCUUAACUGAAUUUUAUAAAGCUGAUCGAUAUCUUGGUAAAAUAUUCAUUUUUAAACUAGCGGGCAGCGAAAUCUUUGCUUUGUGCUAAAGUCAACAGUCGCAGAGUUUCAGCUCCAAUAAAUGCCGGGAUGCUCCCAGCUCCCGCAGAGCCGGGCCGGCGGCCGGGGCGCAGAAAUAGUCCUAAUCCUAUAUUUCGGCCGGAGAAAGUCCGCUUCGGCUCCGCACUAGACUAAUCCAGAAACCACAUAAAACCAGGAGCUGUAGUCUGUGGAACACCCCGAAAAUCCUGGGAUCGGCUCCAGAUAACGGGGACAGGUGUUUUUGCCCCCCCCGCCCUCGCCGCGCACCUGAGCGGCAGGGACAGCGGGAGGGACGGAAUCCACCCGGGAAACGGGAAUGUGAGGACGGGAAAAGCUGCCUCGAGCCCGGGAUGGUGGGUUUUUUGGGGAGGGAGUGUGAGUUGGAUGGAGGGCUGGAUGAAGGGAUGCAGGUAGGGAUGCAGCGUGCAGGGAGUGAUGGGGAGAUGGAUGCA
rnacentral:lncRNA from 1 species